AAAAUCCUCCUUUCCCAUUUCUUCUCCAUCUUCCAAUUUUCACUUCCCCCCCUCCCCCUCCCCUCCUUCUUCUCCCUUCCACUAAUUUUCACAUUUUUUGGAUUAUUACAAUUCUCUAGAACAAAAGAAGAGUGUUCGCAAUCAAAUCAAUUUUCAACCUCUUAUAGUGUAAAGACAAAAGGACGCUAAAUCAACAAAAUCUAAUCGUUAAUUCUCAAUAGAUCUCGGUAUCCUUCCCUCCAAGAACUCCUCACCUUGGCUUUUGGGGUGACUCGAACUCACAAGUUCUUGAUUGGAAGUGGAACUCUCUUACCAUCAGAGCAACGC
rnacentral:lncRNA from 1 species